GCUUACUGGGUCCUGAAUCGGCUGCGUGCUGUUCUAGGUGGGGACUUGAGAGACUGUAGAUGGGUCUAGGGAGUGGUCGAAUAUAAAUAAGCUAGAUUUUUUUUUUUUUAAUUGCAAGGGAACUCCCUAGGAAUUCCAUCCAUGGCCUUGUGGAACGAUCUGCCAAAGAAAAAAUAUUUAUCUCUGCAUCUUUCACCCUGAAGUCACGGGAACAACGCUGAGGGGCAGCCAGAGAUUAUGUGGGCUUUUCCAUGGGAAGAACCACUCUACGUUAUCACCUUCUACAUAGUAGCAGUUGAAGCCAAAUGGACAGAAAGCCCGAGACAACAUGAAGUUGUUCUACAAGUUAUUUUGGAGAAAUUGACUUACCAUACCACUCAUCAACCCAUGCAAAAGCCUGUCUAUGUCCAAUCAGCAGAAUGUCUCGGACCACCUAAAAAGUAAAAGAAGGAGACUGAAAUAAUAGCAUCUUUGAUGAAAACUAUCUGGAAGACAAGUUGUUAACAAUUCUGGGGAUCUUGGUGAUUACAGAGUUCUUAAUCCCUCUGUCCAUAGGUGAUGACAAUUACAGGCUGCCUAUAGGUCCUAUAGUGCUCACACACCUCCAGCCCUUCCCCAUGGUGUACACACACUUGCAGUAUAUUCAUCUCUUUGUCUUAUUUGAGAGUAGGGCUGGGUGUGUGUACAAACUAAUGACAAAUACUUGACAGUCACACAGCAGUGAUACAAAUAAAUAUCUAGGUUAAUUACCUUGAA